rnacentral:rRNA from 1 species
UACAGAGGUCUCAAGCGUUGUUCGGAUUCAUUGGGCGUAAAGGGUGCGUAGGCGGCGCGGUAAGUCGGGUGUGAAAUCUCGGAGCUUAACUCCGAAACUGCAUUCGAUACUGCCGUGCUUGAGGACUGGAGAGGAGACUGGAAUUUACGGUGUAGCGGUGAAAUGCGUAGAUAUCGUAAGGAAGACCAGUGGCGAAGGCGGGUCUCUGGACAGUUCCUGACACUGAGACGCGAAAGCGUGGGGAGCGAACAGG